UUUCAUCCGUUGACGCCCUACCUCUUCCAACCAACGACUUUUUUGGCCAGGGCGUAACUCCAAAGAGAAAAUGUGCUAUUUUAAAGGCCUCAAGAAACAAAAGACGCACUGCUUUACAAGGCUCCUAAGAUCAAAGAGUCACCUCAUUGCCGAGCGCGGAGGGAUCACCAGACAGGCCCCGCUUCCGGUUUUAACUGAAGGGCGGGGAGAAAAGUCAUUUCCAAGAAAGGUUUUUAUUGUGAAGCCCGAAGCCUUCUCGUCGCGCGAGAUGCCGGCGGAGAGCGCGCAUCGAGCUGAUUGGCCACCCUUGAGUCAACAGAAGCUUCAUGUGAGGGGCCAAUGAGACCACUUGGCCAAAUGAACUACAUUCCCACUUUAAACGCACAGAGCAAGCAAGGCCAAGGAGAGUUUCCUUUGUAUUUACAGGUGGAGGCAGGCCGGAAUGCCGAUCAUCCUCUCUCCAGUGGCCAUUGAGACAGAGAUGGGACAUACCACGCAGAUUUGCACCCACAGGACAAAAGGUCAACUUCCAGAAGGCAGCCAGCAAUCCAGAUGCUCUCUGAGCUACAUCUGAGCCUCUGAGACAGAGCUAGCAAUGGCCUCUAAAGCUCAGGCUCAUGCUGUCCUGGGCUUGAGAUUAAAACUGUUAAGCUGAGCAGGCCGCUCCUACUCCAGCGCGAUAUGCUCCCCACCCAAGGGCCUGGUGACCUGGAAGAGGAGAGCGCAUCGCAGCCAUGAACUCCAACAGGGAGCUAUGAGGUCUUACUUUAAAAGUUGACUUGUUCCAGCUGAAAGGGCUUAUCGGCCGUGCGUCCUGCACUCAGGCUCCGCCGCACUAGCGGGAGCCUCCUGGGAACGGACUCCCCCCCAGGCAGGAGGGGCGGGCUCCUCAGUGCUAUCAAGGAGCACUGGCGUUUUAAUGGGCAAAGAGUCUCCGUUUUGCAAGAUAAAAAGUUCUGGAGAUGUUACACCACAG